rnacentral:rRNA from 1 species
AACGAACGCUGGCGGCAUGCCUAACACAUGCAAGUCGAACGAGACCUUCGGGUCUAGUGGCGCACGGGUGCGUAACGCGUGGGAACCUGCCCUUAGGUUCGGAAUAACUCCCCGAAAGGGGUGCUAAUACCGGAUAAUGUCUUCGGACCAAGGAUUUAUCGCCUUUGGAUGGGCCCGCGUUGGAUUAGCUAGUUGGUAGGGUAAAAGCCUACCAAGGCGACGAUCCAUAGCUGGUCUGAGAGGAUGAUCAGCCACGCUGGGACUGAGACACGGCCCAGACUCCUACGGGAGGCAGCAGUGGGGAAUAUUGGACAAUGGGCGAAAGCCUGAUCCAGCAAUGCCGCGUGAGUGAUGAAGGCCUUAGGGUUGUAAAGCUCUUUUACCCGGGAUGAUAAUGACAGUACCGGGAGAAUAAGCUCCGGCUAACUCCGUG